AACAGUCAUUUUCAAUGUCAUUUCAGCACUUCCCGGAGACUGGACCCCAAGGAACCCCUGGGUAGCCAGAGAGCAGCUUCCCCAACUCCGAAGCAGGCUUCUGCUACUACUCCUGGCCAUGAGAGCCCACGGGAGACAAGGGCACAGGGACCAGCAGGCCAGGAGGCUGAUGGUCCCCGCAGGACGCUGCAGGUAGACAGCAGGACACAGAGAUCAGGGCGGUCCCCCUCAGUGUCACCGGACAGAGGCAGCACCCCCACAUCACCCUACUCCGUCCCUCAGAUCGCCCCCCUUCCCAGCAGCACGCUAUGUCCCAUAUGCAAGACUUCGGACCUUACAUCGACCCCCAGCCAGCCAAACUUCAACACCUGCACCCAGUGUCACAACAAGGUCUGCAACCAGUGUGGGUUCAACCCCAACCCUCAUCUCACCCAGGUGAAGGAGUGGCUCUGUCUGAACUGUCAGAUGCAGAGGGCUCUGGGAAUGGACAUGACCACUGCACCUCGCUCCAAGAGCCAGCAGCAGCUGCACUCCCCAGCCCUGUCUCCUGCACACUCCCCUGCCAAACAGCCCCAGGGGAAGCCAGAGCAAGAGAGAUCUCGGGGCCCAGGAGGACCACAGCCUGGCUCCUGCCAGGCUGAGACAGCCAGGGCCACCUCAGUGCCGGGGUCUGCCCAAGCAGCUGCCCCUCCAGAGGUGGGGAGGGUGUCUCCUCAGCCCCCUCAACCCACCAAGCCUUCCACAGUUGAGCCCAGGCCACCUGCAGGAGAGGCCCCAGCCAAAAGUGCCACCGCAGUGCCCACUGGGCUUGGUGCCGCCGAGCAGACCCAGGAGGGCCUCACUGGUAAGCUCUUCGGCCUCGGCGCAUCGCUGCUAACCCAGGCGAGCACCCUCAUGUCUGUGCAGCCCGAGGCUGACACCCAGGGCCAGCCUGCCCCCAGCAAGGGGACACCCAAGAUUGUCUUCAGUGAUGCCAGCAAGGAGGCUGGCCCAAAACCCUCGGGCUCAGUGCCCGGGCCUGGGCCAGCACCUGGAGCCAAAACUGAACCUGGGGCUAGAACAGGUCCUGGAUCUGGGCCUGGAGCUCUGGCGAAAACUGGGGGAACAACCAGUCCAAAGCAUGGCAAAGCAGAACACCAGGUAGCAUCGAAGGCUGCUGCCAAGCCAAAGACCAUGCCGAAGGAAAGGGCCACCUGCCCACUGUGCCAAGCUGAGCUGAACGUGGGGAGCAAGAGCCCAGCCAACUAUAACACGUGUACCACCUGCAAGCUCCAGGUGUGCAACCUGUGUGGCUUCAACCCAACACCCCACCUGGUGGAGAAAACAGAGUGGCUCUGUCUGAACUGCCAAACCAAGCGGCUACUGGAGGGCAGCCUGGGAGAGCCGACCCCCCCGCCACUGCCCACCUCACAGCAGCCCCCUGUUGGGGCCCCUCACCGUGCAUCUGGAACAUCCCCUCUGAAGCAGAAAGGGCCACAGGGGCUGGCCCAGCCAUCAGGCCCCCUGCCCGCCAAGGCCAGCCCUCUGCCCACCAAGGCCAGCCCUCUACCCACCAAAGCCAGCCCUCUACCCACCAAGGCCAGCCCCCUACCCACCAAGGCCAGCCCCCAGGCCAAGCCCCUCAGGGCUUCUGAACCUAGCAAGACCCCAAGCAGUGCCCUGGAAAAGAAGACUGGAGCCCCCACUAAAGCUGAGCCCAUGCCGAAGCCACCUCCAGAGACUACCCCGACCCCUGGGGCUCCUAAAGUGAAGAGUGGGGUGAGGAGGGCCGAACCUGCCACCCCUGUCAUCAAGGCCAUUCCAGAAGCCCCCAAGGGUGGGGAGGUGGAGGACCUGGUGGGCAAGCCUUACUCUCAAGACCUGUCUCGGAGCCCACAGAGCCUCAGUGACACAGGCUAUUCCUCCGACGGCAUCUCUAGCUCCCAGAGUGAGAUCACAGGAGUUGUGCAGCAGGAGGUGGAACAACUGGACAGUGCAGGGGUGACAGGGCCAUGUCCACCCAGCCCCUCUGAGAUCCACAAGGUGGGGAGCAGCAUACGGCCUUUGCUGGAGGCCCAGGGCCUGGCCCCCAGUGGUGAGCAGAGCAAGCCACCCUGCAGCAGUACUGGCGAGGAACAGAAGCAGCGGCCCCACUCCUUGUCCAUCACGCCUGAGGCCUUUGACUCUGAUGAAGAGCUGGAGGACAUCCUGGAGGAAGAGGAAGGCUCUGUCGAGUGGAGGCGCCGGAGGGAGCAGCAGGACACUGCUGAGUCCUCAGAUGACUUUGGCAGCCAACUGAGGCAUGACUAUGUGGAGGACAGCAGUGAAGGUGGCCUGUCCCCUCUUCCACCCCAGCCCCCAGCCAGGGCAGCAGAACUGACUGAUGAGGAGUUCAUGCGACAGCAGAUUCUGGAGAUGAGUGCCGAGGAAGACAACCUGGAGGAGGAUGACACUGCCACCUCCGGGCAUGGCCUGGCCAAGCAUGGCACCCAGAAGGGCGGCCCCAGACCCAGGCCUGAGCCUAGCCAAGAACCAGCAGCACUACCCAAGAGGCGGCUGCCCCACAAUGCCACCACGGGCUAUGAGGAGCUGCUCCCCGAGGGAGGCACAGCAGAGGCUACUGAUGGCAGUGGGACCCUGCAGGGUGGGCUCCGUCGCUUCAAGACCAUUGAGCUCAACAGCACGGGAAGUUAUGGCCAUGAGCUGGACCUGGGCCAAGGCCCUGACCCCAGUCUGGACCGGGAGCCCGAGCUGGAGAUGGAGAGCCUGACAGGCUCCCCUGAGGACCGCUCCCGUGGUGAGCACUCCUCUACAUUGCCUGCCUCCACACCCAGCUAUACCUCGGGCACCUCUCCCACCUCUCUGUCCUCCCUAGAGGAAGACAGUGACAGCAGCCCCAGCCGCAGGCAGCGUCUGGAAGAAGCAAAGCAGCAGCGCAAGGCCCGGCACCGCUCCCAUGGACCCCUGCUGCCCACCAUUGAGGACUCCUCGGAGGAAGAGGAGCUGCGGGAGGAAGAGGAGCUGUUGCGUGAGCAGGAGAAGAUGCGGGAGGUGGAGCAGCAGCGCAUCCGCAGCACGGCCCGCAAGACCCGGCGGGACAAGGAAGAACUACGUGCCCAGCGGAGGCGAGAGCGCUCCAAGACACCACCCAGUAACUUGUCACCCAUCGAGGAUGCCUCCCCGACGGAGGAGCUGAGGCAGGCAGCUGAGAUGGAGGAGCUGCACCGCUCCUCCUGCUCUGAGUACUCGCCCUCACCCUCCCUUGACUCUGAGGCUGAGGCCCUGGAUGGUGGCCCCAGCCGGCUUUACAAGUCAGGCAGUGAGUACAACCUGCCCACCUUCAUGUCCCUCUACUCACCAACCGAGACACCCUCUGGCAGCUCCACCACUCCCAGUUCCGGACGGCCCCUCAAGAGCGCUGAGGAAGCCUAUGAGGAGAUGAUGCGCAAAGCUGAGCUGCUCCAGAGGCAGCAGGGCCAGGCGCCAGGGGCCCGGGGACCCCAUGGUGGCCCCUCUCAGCCCACAGGCCCCCGGGGCCCAGGCUCCUUCGAAUAUCAAGACACUGCAGACCGUGACUAUGGCCGGGCUGCUCAGCCUGCCACAGAGGGCACACCAGCCAGCCUGGGAGCAGCCGUGUACGAAGAAAUUCUUCAGACGUCACAGAGCAUAGUUCGCAUGCGGCAGGCCUCCUCACGAGACCUGGCUUUUGCUGAGGACAAAAAGAAGGAGAAGCAGUUUCUGAAUGCUGAGAGUGCAUACAUGGACCCGAUGAAGCAAAAUGGCGGCCCCCUUACUCCUGGUACCAGUCCCACCCAGCUCGCUGCCCCUGUGUCCUUCUCCACCCCCACCUCUUUGGACAGCAGCGGGGGCCUAGUUAUUCCCGAUGUCCGUGUCACUCAGCAUUUUGCAAAGGAGCCUCAGGACCCCCUCAAGCUGCACAGCUCUCCUGCCUCCCCCAGCUCAGCCUACAAGGAGGCAGGCAUGCCCUUGUCCCAGGGCCCUGGGACCCCAGCCACCGCAGCUGUGGCUCCUUGUCCCGCAGGGCUGCCACGAGGAUAUAUGACUCCAGCCUCCCCAGCAGGCUCCGAGCGUAGUCCUUCACCGUCUUCCACAGGCCAUAGCUAUGGACACAGCCCAACCACUGCAAACUAUGGGUCCCAAACUGAGGAUCUACCCCAGGUCCCCAGUGGCCUUGCUGCAGCUGGAUGGGCUGCCAGAGAGAAGCCACUGAGUGCAAGUGACAGUGAGGGUGGCACUCCUCAGCCUUCCCGGGCAUAUUCCUACUUUGCAAGUUCCAGCCCACCUCUCUCCCCAUCUUCCCCCUCAGAGAGUCCCACAUUCUCCCUUGGCAAGCUGGGCCAAAGGGCCACAGCAGAGUUCUCUACACAGACACCAAGUCUAGCCCCUGCCUCGGACAGGCCAUGGAGUCCUGGUGCCCCCACCCCAUCACCUAUGGUAGCCCAGGGCACACAAACACCACAUCGACCAAGCACCCCUCGCCUGGUGUGGCAGGAGUCCUCGCAGGAGGCUCCCUUUAUGGUCAUCACGCUGGCAUCAGAUGCCUCCAGCCAGACCAGGAUGGUACAUGCCAAUGCCUCCACCUCCCCGCUCUGCUCACCUACUGAAACCCUGCCCACCACCCAUAGCUACAGCCAGACAACACCUCCGAGUGUGUCUCAGCUACCCCCAGAGCCACCUGGGCUACCUGGCUUUCCACGGGCACCCAGUGCUGGUGUGGAUGGGCCCCUGGCACUAUAUGGCUGGGGUGCCCUCCCUGCUGAGAACAUCUCCCUUUGCCGGAUCUCCUCUGUCCCUGGGACGUCUAGGGUUGAGCCAGGCCCCAGGCCCCCUGGCACUGCAGUGGUAGACCUCCGUACAGCUGUCAAGCCCACGCCCAUCAUCCUCACUGACCAGGGCAUGGACCUCACCUCUCUUGCCGUGGAAGCGAGGAAGUAUGGUCUUGCCCUAGAUCCAAUCCCAGGACGGCAGUCGACCGCCGUGCAGCCUUUGGUUAUCAACCUCAAUGCCCAGGAGCAGACCCAUACCUUCCUUGCCACUGCCACCACCGUGAGCAUCACCAUGGCCUCGUCUGUGCUCAUGGCUCAACAAAAGCAGCCUGUGGUCUAUGGAGACCCCUACCAGAGCCGCCUUGACUUUGGCCAGGGUGGAGGUAGCCCUGUGUGCCUGGCCCAGGUCAAACAAGUAGAGCAGGCUGUCCAAACAGCCCCAUACCGAAGUGGGCCCCGGGGAAGACCCAGGGAGGCCAAACUUGCCAGAUAUAACCUGCCCAACCAAGUAGCACCUCUGGCCAGAAGGGAUGUUUUAAUCACUCAGAUAGGCACCGCCCAGAGUGUUGGCCUCAAGCCAGGCCCAGUGCCAGAGCCUGGUGCUGAGCCCCACCAGGCCACCCCUGCAGAGCUUCGGUCACAUGCUCUGCCAGGUGUCAGGAAGCCACACACAGUGGUGGUGCAGAUGGGAGAGGGCACAGCUGGCACUGUGACCACGCUGCUCCCUGAGGAGCCUGCGGGUGCCCUGGACCUCACAGGGAUGAGGCCUGAGAGCCAACUGGCAUGCUGUGACAUGGUCUAUAAGCUCCCCUUUGGGAGCAGCUGCACUGGCACCUUCCACCCCGCCCCUAGUGCGCCUGAGAAGAGCAUGGCAGAUGCUGCCCCACCUGGGCAAAGCAGUGGCCCCUUCUAUGGUCCCCAGGACGCUGAGCCUCCUGAGCCCCUCACCUACCGGGCACAGGGGGUUGUGGGGCCUGGGCCUCAUGAGGUGCAGAGGCCCUACCCACAGGGCCUGCCUGGUAGGUUGUACUCCUCCAUGUCUGACACCAAUUUGGCUGAGGCUGGCCUCAACUACCAUGCCCAGAGGAUUGGGCAGCUCUUCCAGGGCCCUGGACGAGACUCGGCUGUGGACCUCAGCUCACUGAAGCAUUCCUACAGCCUGGGCUUUGCAGAUGGACGCUACCUAGGGCAGGGCUUGCAGUAUGGCUCAUUCACGGACCUGCGUCAUCCUACAGACCUGUUGGCUCACCCACUUCCCAUGCGGCGCUAUAGCUCAGUGUCAAACAUCUACUCAGACCACAGGUACGGCCCACGGGGAGACACAGUUGGCUUCCAGGAGGCCAGCCUGGCCCAGUACAGUGCCACCACAGCCCGUGAAAUCAGUCGCAUGUGCGCUGCCCUCAACUCCAUGGACCAGUAUGGUGGGCGGCAUGGCAGUGGUGGUGGUGGCCCUGACCUUGUACAGUACCAGUCCCAGCAUGGGCCUGGGCUCAGUGCUCCACAGAGUCUGGCUCCCCUCAGACCUGGACUCCUUGGUAACCCCACCUUUCCAGAGGGCCACCCAAGUCCUGGGAACUUGGCCCAGUAUGGGCCUGCAGCAGGCCAUGGAACAGCAAUCAGACAGCUGCUACCAUCCACAGCCACUGUGCGUGCAGCUGAUGGCAUGAUCUACUCGACUAUCAACACCCCAAUUGCUGCAACACUGCCCAUCACCACCCAGCCUGCCUCAGUCCUGCGGCCCAUGGUGCGUGGUGGCAUGUACAGGCCUUACGCAUCUGGUGGAGUCACAGCCGUGCCACUCACCAGUCUGACACGCGUGCCCAUGAUUGCCCCCCGGGUACCUCUUGGACCCACAGGGCUGUACCGAUAUCCUGCACCAAGUAGAUUCCCCGUUGCUUCCAGUGUUCCACCUGCAGAGGGUCCUGUCUAUCUGGGGAAACCUGCUGCUGCCAAGGCCUCUGGGGCUGGGGGCCCUCCAAGGCCAGAGAUGCCAGCAGGGGCUGCACGGGAAGAGCCUCUUCCCACAACAACCCCUGUUGCCAUUAAGGAGGCUGCAGGAGCCCCAGCUCCUGCCCCACUAGCUGGCCAGAAGCCACCAGCAGAUGCUGCUCCUGGAGGUGGCACUGGGGCCCUCAGCCGGCCAGGGCUCGAGAAAGAGGAAGUAUCACAGGAGGAGAGGCAGCGGAAGCAGCAGGAGCAGCUGCUCCAGCUAGAGCGGGAGCGGGUGGAGCUGGAGAAGCUGCGACAACUUCGGCUGCAAGAGGAGCUAGAGCGUGAACGUGUGGAGCUGCAGAGGCACCGUGAGGAGGAGCAGCUGCUGGUGCAGCGGGAGUUGCAGGAGCUGCAGACCAUUAAGCACCAUGUGCUGCAGCAGCAGCAAGAGGAGCGCCAGGCUCAAUUUGCAUUGCAGCGGGAACAGCUAGCACAGCAGCGUCUGCAGCUGGAGCAGAUCCAGCAGCUGCAGCAGCAGCUACAGCAGCAGCUAGAGGAGCAGAAGCAGCGGCAGAAAGCUCCCUUCCCUGCAGCCUGUGAAGCACCUGGCCGAGGGCCUCCCCUAGCGGCUGCUGAGCUGGCCCAGAAUGGCCAGUAUUGGCCCCCUCUUACCCACGCAGCCUUCAUUGCCAUGGCAGGGCCUGAAGGACCUGGGCAGCCUCGUGAGCCUGUGCUACACCGGGGUCUCCCCAGCUCUGCCUCAGACAUGUCACUGCAAACAGAGGAGCAAUGGGAGACCAGCCGUAGUGGCAUCAAGAAGCGGCACUCCAUGCCACGCCUGCGAGAUGCCUGUGAACCAGAAUCUGCACCUGAGCCCUGCAUGGUCAGGAGGAUUGCUGACAGCAGCGUGCAGACAGAUGAUGAGGAUGGGGAGGGCCGCUACCUCUUGACCCGGCGACGCAGGGCACGGAGGAGUACUGACUGCAGUGUGCAGACGGACGACGAGGACAGUGCUGAGUGGGAGCAGCCAGUGCGCCGCCGCAGGUCCCGUCUUCCCCGCCACUCAGACUCAGGCUCUGACAGCAAGCACGAUGCCACUGCCUCAUCAUCCACUGCUGCCGCCACUGCGAGGGCCAUGAGCAGUGUGGGCAUCCAGACUAUCAGUGACUGUUCUGUGCAGACAGAGCCUGACCAGCUGCCCAGGGUCUCUCCAGCCAUCCACAUCACAGCUGCCACCGAUCCCAAGGUGGAGAUCGUCAGGUACAUAUCGGCUCCAGAGAAGACUGGGCGUGGGGAAAGCCUGGCCUGCCAGACGGAACCUGACGGGCAGGCCCAGGGUGUAGCUGGGCCACAGCUUGUAGGGCCAACUGCCAUCAGCCCCUACCUGCCCGGCAUCCAGAUUGUUACCCCAGGACCUCUGGGCAGAUUUGAAAAAAAGAAGCCAGAUCCCCUGGAGAUUGGGUACCAGGCCCAGCUGCCUCCAGAGUCUCUCUCACAGCUUAUGAGCCGCCAGCCUCCCAAGUCCCCUCAGGUCCUCUACUCACCAGUCUCACCCUUGUCCCCUCACCGGCUCCUGGACACCUCCUUUGCUUCCAGUGAGAGGCUGAACAAGGCUCACGUGAGUCCCCAGAAGCACUUCACAGCUGACAGCGCUCUCCGCCAGCAGACGCUGCCUCGCCCCAUGAAGACCCUGCAGCGGUCCUUGUCUGACCCUAAGCCCCUCAGCCCCACCGCUGAAGAGUCUGCCAAAGAGAGAUUCUCCCUCUACCAGCACCAGGGGGGACUGGGUAGCCAGGUGUCGGCGCUGCCACCCAACAGCCUGGUCCGCAAGGUGAAGCGGACACUGCCCAGCCCCCCUCCAGAGGAGGCUCACCUUCCCCUGGCUGGCCAGGCCGCCCCACAGCUGUAUGCAGCCAGCCUGCUGCAGAGAGGGCUGACGGGGCCCACCGCUGUCCCUACUACCAAGGCCAGCCUGCUCCGGGAGCUGGACCGGGACCUGCGGCUGGUGGAGCAUGAGUCCACCAAGCUGCGCAAGAAGCAGGCGGAGUUGGAUGAGGAGGAGAAGGAGAUUGACGCCAAGCUCAAGUACCUGGAGCUAGGUAUCACACAACGCAAAGAGUCUUUGGCCAAAGACCGAGGUGGCCGUGACUACCCACCCUUGCGUGGUCUUGGUGAGCAUCGUGACUACCUGUCGGACAGCGAGCUCAACCAGCUGCGGCUCCAGGGCUGCACUACUCCCUCCGGCCAGUAUGUGGACUUCUCUGCCACUGCCGCUGCUCCUACCACCCCCUCUGGUCCCACUGCCUUCCAGCAGCCCCGCUUUCAGCCUCUGGCCCCACAGUACACUGCAGGCAGUGGUGGGCCAGCUCAGAACGGAUUCCCAGCCCACCAGGCCCCCUCCUACCCUGGCCCCAGCACAUACCCAGCUGCUCCUGCCUUUCCUCCUGGCACCAGUUACCCAGCCGAGCCUGGCCUGCCAAACCAGCAGGCUUUCCGUCCCACAGGCCAUUAUGUAGGCCAAACACCCAUGCAAACUACACAGAGCACCCUUUUUCCAGUCCCCGCUGAUAGCCGUGCCCCCCCGCAGAAGCCACGGCAGACAUCGCUAGCCGACUUGGAGCAGAAGGUGCCCACCAACUAUGAGGUGAUCGCCAGCCCCGUUGUGGCCAUGUCUUCGGCCCCUUCUGAAACUGGCUACAGUGGCCCAACAGUGAGCAGUGGCUAUGAGCAGGGCAAGGUCCCUGAGCUUCCCCGAGCUGGUGACCGUGGCAGUGUGAGCCACAGCCCAGCCCCCACCUACCCCUCUGACUCACACUAUACCAAUCUGGAGCAGAACGUUCCUCGAAAUUAUGUAAUGAUUGACGACAUCAGUGAACUGACCAAGGACAGCACCUCUACUGCUCCUGACAGCCAGCGGCUGGAGCCCCUGGGGCCAGGCAGCAGUGGGCGUCCAGGGAAAGAGCCUGGAGAACCAGGUGUCCUUGAGGGGCCCACACUGCCCUGCUGCUAUGCCAGAGGGGAGGAGGAAUCUGAGGAGGACUCGUACGACCCCCGCAGCAAGGGUGGCCAUCACCGGAGCAUGGAGAGCAAUGGUCGACCAGCCAGUACCCACUACUACGGUGACAGUGACUACAGACAUGGGGCUCGCACAGAGAAGUAUGGUCCAGGGCCCAUGGGGCCCAAGCAUCCCUCCAAGAGCCUGGCUCCAGCUGCCAUCUCCUCAAAGCGCAGCAAGCACCGGAAGCAGGGCAUGGAGCAAAAGAUCUCCAAGUUCUCGCCUAUUGAAGAGGCCAAGGAUGUGGAGUCAGACCUGGCGUCCUACCCCUCACCUGCAGUCAGCAGCAGCCUGGUCUCUCGAAGCAGGAAGUUCCAGGAUGAAAUCACCUAUGGGCUCAAGAAGAACGUGUAUGAGCAGCAGAGAUACUAUGGGAUGUCCAGCCGGGACGCAGUAGAGGAGGAUGACCGCAUUUAUGGUGGGAGCAGCCGGCCCCGGGCACCUUCUACAUACAGUGGGGAGAAGCUGUCCAGCCAUGACUUCAGCGGCAGGGGCAAGGGGUACGAAAGGGAACGGGAGGCUGUGGAGCGACUUCAAAAAGCGGGCCCCAAGCCCUCAUCCCUAAGUAUGGCCCACAGCCGGGCACGGCCCCCCAUGCGGAGCCAGGCCUCUGAAGAGGAGAGCCCUGUCAGCCCCUUGGGGAGGCCCCGCCCUGCCGGAGGGCCCCUCCCUCCUGGUGGGGAUACCUGCCCACAGUUCUGCUCCAGCCACUCCAUGCCUGAUGUCCAGGAGCAUGUCAAGGACGGACCUCGGGCCCACGCAUAUAAGCGUGAGGAGGGCUACAUCCUGGAUGAUUCCCACUGCGUGGUUUCCGACAGUGAAGCGUAUCACCUGGGCCAGGAGGAGACGGACUGGUUUGAUAAGCCCCGGGAUGCCCGCUCUGACCGGUUCAGGCACCACGGGGGCCAUGCAGUUUCCUCCUCCUCCCAGAAGCGAGGCCCUUCCAGGCACAGCUACCAUGACUACGAUGAACCCCCUGAGGAGGGCCUGUGGCCUCACGAUGAGGGUGGCCCAGGCCGCCAUGCCUCAGCCAAGGAACACCGGCACCACAGUGACCACGGGCGGCACUCAGGCCGCCACACUGGUGAGGAGCCAGGACGGCGUGCUGCCAAACCACACACUCGGGACUUGGGUCGCCAUGAGGCCCGGCCCCACUCUCAGCCCAGCUCUGCUUCAGCUAUGCCGAAGAAGAGUCAGCCUGGCUACCCCAGCUCUGCUGAGUACUCACAGCCAUCCCGUGCUCCCUCCGCAUACCAUCAUGCCUCUGACAGCAAGAAGGGCUCCCGACAAGCCCACUCUGGGCCCGCUGCACCGCAGUCAAAGGCAGAACCCCAGGCGCAGCCACAGUUGCAAGGUCGGCAGGCAGCUCCAGGGCCACAACAGUCACAGCCACCAUCAUCCAGGCAAAUACCCUCUGGGGCAGCAUCGCGCCAGCCACAGAUGCAGCAGCAGCAACAACAGCAGCAGCAGCAGCAAGGUCUUGGGCUGCAGCCCCCACAGCAGGCCCCGACGCAGGCUCGGCUGCAGCAACAGAGCCAGCCAACCACCCGGGGCUCAGCCCCUGUUGCCAGCCAGCCUGCAGGGAAGCCUCAGCCAGGCCCCACGACAGCCACAGGCCCUCAGCCAGCAGGACUGCCACGGGCAGAACAGACAAAUGGCUCUAAAGGGACAGCCAAAGCUCCGCAACAGGGAAGGGCUCCUCAGGCCCAGUCAACACCAGGACCUGGACCUGCAGGUGUGAAGGCUGCAGCAAGGCCUGGAGGAACCCCAGGGGCUCCUGCCAGCCAGCCAGGUGCCGAAGGGGAGAGCGUGUUCUCCAAGAUCCUUCCUGGUGGGGCAGCCGAGCAAGCUGGCAAACUGACGGAAGCUGUUUCUGCUUUUGGCAAAAAAUUUUCCUCAUUCUGGUGACCAUGCCCAGCAGGGCUCUUGAAGAAAUGAAGACAGUUAUCAUUGCUGUGGAAAAAUCUCUGGAGUCAGAGGCCAGGGCGCAGCUCUGGACUCUGCGUAUAACACAUCUACAAUCUGGCAAACCCUUGGCCCAAAGACUCACCAGGUGGGACGUGGCAGGCAGGCCUCAGUUGAGGAUGCGAUGUUUUCUCACAGCAGCUGUCUGGGUGAAGCAUCUGCUGGACAAGUGGCACCAGUGGCCGGGGGACCUUUGAUUGUUUUUCCAGAGACGCUGCUCUCCACAGGGCACCACUUUCAAGGCACAGCCCUCGUUGGGAGGGAGGACCCUCUCCAGAAACCCGGCCACAACAGUAUCUUGCCGUACUUCCCACAGCCUCCUCUUUGCAGCCUGGCCAGCCAGGCUUCCAAUGCGUUAUACACAGAGUUUGGGCGCACACUGCCCUCCCUCCGAGAUGCCAGAAGUUUUUCCACAGCCUUGGAGAGGGGCUUUGACUGAGGGCUGGGGGCCCCAGGCUCCGUUUCCUUCACAUUCCAGCUGGCCCGGAUCCCUCUGUGGCACAGGGCCCUGCCCCCGUCACCUGCCCUCUGGGUGACAUCGGAGCAGACCUCCAUGUGGCCAGCAUGGGGUUGGGAGAACUUUACAAACAUUAGGACCUAACACUGUCUCAUCGCUGAAAUAAGAGGCCGUAGCACCGAAAAGCAGCGUGGGCACUGGCUGAGGCUUCUCCCAGCCCGUGGGUGGCAGUGUCCUAGAACACUGCCACCAUCUCAAAGCCAUCCCCCUAGCCAUCGUGAGCAUCCCAGCGGCACCGCCAUUGUCUCAACCAGCCGGCUCCUCGUCCAUACACCUGGGGAUUUCUUUUGAUUUCAAGAACAGCCUUAAUCAUUCCAGUUUGAUUUACGUGUAUACCUCAUAAACAUUUUUCUUUUGUUUCUCUCUCCCACUUUCUCUCUUCUCUUGGCUCACCCCUUGCCUCUCCCCUCCACCACCACUUUGUGACUGAUGGUUCGGUUUCCUCUCUGCUCUGCCCCUGCUCAGCACAGGGAGAAUGUUGACUUAGAAGCAAUAGGGGGCAGCAGGCCACCAAGAGCACAACCCCAGGGCGAGGUCUAGGGAGGUCCCUUAGCCCGCCUCUGUUUACUGUGCAAUUCCAGUCCUUCUUAAGCCAUCACCAGUGGGUGUGCUCAGAGCAGAGUGGCCAGGCUUCUGCUAGCCAAGGGAAAGGCCCAGGGCCCUGUGUGGGGGAGUGUGCCACUGUCUAUCCAUCUGGUGGGCUGGGCUGCAUUCCUCCCCAAGGCCCUUCCCUUGGGGGCCUCCCUUCAUCUUGGGCACAGCCACAAGUCUCAUCUCUAACGUUCUAUGCAAUGAAAUAUAAACCCUCAAUUUUGACAACUGUUAAUAUUUAAUAAAUUCCAUGUUAUGUAUAAGGAGUUAAUUGCAAACAUGUAAUUGAGAAACUGGAUAGAUACACUCAUAUCACCCCCAACCCCCACCCCACCCCUGCUCCCAUUGUGUGUGUGAAAUUCUCAGUCUGUGGCAUGUUUGACCUGUGGCAGGACUCGCUGCUGCCAGGUGAGUCACCGCCUGUCCCGCAGUGGAGCAUGCACAGCUCGCAGCCUCUUUGCACGAUUUCAUCCAUUUUAAAUGCUCGACCCUGUUGCUUGGAGUUCUUUUUGCCUCAGAACCUCUCCUUCAGGAGCACUUCUAGCUGACUUCUGCACAAGCUAGUAAGGACCUGCCAGAAUUGUUGCCUGAGCGUGCCAGACUGCAGGGCAGGUAGUUCAAGGCCCCACACACCCUGCAGUUUUCUCUGUCCAGGAUAGCAGGUAAAAAGGAAUCCCCAGAGCAGAUGCAAUGGUAGGAGCCUGAACAGGAUGCGUGUGUAUGGACAUGGACAUUCUGAAGGCUUGCUGUAGGAUUUCUGUCUGUCAUUUUCCCUUCCUACCCCAACCCUGAGCCAUAGGCAUCUGCUAGCCCUUUCCCAAAGGGCACUAGUCAAGGGCAGAGCUGGGCAGCAUCCAUGGCCAGAGAGGCAGAGAUAAGACCAGAGCCAGGUUGUGCCUCAGGGACCCCAGCUCUUGACUGCACCUGUUCCAUGCCUCUCCUCUGUGGCUAAGAGGCUCAAAGGACUGUGAGCCAGGAGAUCUGGGCUGGAGCUAGGGGGUCAAUGGAUGCUCAGGAAGAACAGGGCCUUUGGCACUUGUGGUGAGAACAGUUGACAAUGGUCAUCUGGAACUGUGCAUAUGAACAGUGGCUUCAAGCUAAGUUUCUUGUGAAGUUUCUCAGUAGCAAAUCUUAUAGAAGGUCCUGUGUGACCCUCUCGGCAUCUGUCCCUAGGACCCUAUGCUCCCUGCCCACCCCCUUCUCCAAAGCCCAAGCAUCCCACUGCUCAUCAGUUUUUCUACCACUGAGCCAGGAGUACGGCAGGUAGUAGCUGCCUGACCCCUCAAGGCCUGACCUUUGUCCAGAGUGCUCUGGUUUGCACCAUGCAUUUCUCAGGGGUCCGCAUUUCUCAUGCUUUUUUAAAAGGUCUACACACCCCUUCAGUGAGGGCUCCUGGCUCACCUCUGGAAGCAAUGGAUGGGAAAGGAAGCUGCCAACCUCUGUGUUGGACUUAACACCCUUGCCUUCCUGGGACUUGGCCUCACUCAACCCAUGGAAUAUCUUCCUCAUCCCAGAGAUCAGGUAUGCGCUGAAUGAGGCCAUCUGAGCGAGGGCUGAGGGAAGACAUCAUCUAACACCUCUGGCCGCCCAGGACCAGCUCUGUGUGGGGAUGUGCCUUGGAGACCAAGGCAAUCAUCCUUUCCACUACAGGCCAGGGGAUGGGACAAGAAGCAAGGAAUAGGCAGGGAAAUGUUAGGGAGUCAGAGCCUCCAGUAGGCCUAGUCUCAGGCUCUAAAUUACUGACUUUUCCGCAAAUUUCCUUUCUGGCCAAGCCCUCUGAGUUUGAAAUUUGACAGCUGUCACUCCUCAUUCCCCACUGUACCCCCAGGAUACAUCAUUGGCCCUCUGUGAAGGUGGCUGGAGCAGGCCUCUGGUCCAUGGACUAUCCUUCCUGGCUCCUGCAUGGAUGCAGUUGUGACUCUGGGGACAAUGCAGCCAGAAGCUGAGGGACCAGCAUUCGGUGCCUUGGGAAGUAGAGAGCAACAGACACAUCUCCAAAUGAGUCUCUAGCAUGCAGCCCAGGCUUUCUCCAUACCCCUCUUCCCAGCAUCAUGAGCAAGGGCAUUGCCUCCUCUCUCUGCCCACUUCAGGGCCUAGUGUACUCACUUCACAGUGACAGCCCUCCCCUCACCACCAUCCUCUUAGUCCUUGGGCUAGCAUGUGGUCUCAGGGCCCACAGUGAAAGAACAGCAGUGGUGGCAACUAUGCCCUGUCUUCUGGAGCCUGUAGGGAGUUUUCCAGGCAGGUCCUUUGCCAUGACAGCAUGGUCCUGCCCUGUUGCCCCCUCCCCUCUCCCCUUACCCACGCCCAUGCUGUAAAUACUUGUCAUCAUGGACUCCAACAGGGGUAGAGGGACAGGCCUAACCAACUGAAACUCCUCAGAGAUGCCAUCUCUGUCUCCCUGGGUGCCAGCAGCCCUGCUGCCAUGUGCACUGGGGUGGCACUGGAGAGCCAUGGAAGUGGUGAGAUAUUUUAUGUGUAUGCACAUGAUCAUGUGUGUAUGUGCGUGUGUGUGUGUGUGUGUGUGUGUGUGUGUGUGUGUGCGUUCCUGCCUCAUUCAGUUUCUGGGGUCAAAUCAACUCCUUCUCUCCAAGUGCAGUAUCCUGGAGAGUGGUGGCCACUCAAUACCUUUUCCUCUAGCUUUCAUGUCUUUUUUUUUUUUUUUUUGCUUUCCCCUCCUCCUCCCUCUCUCCCUUUCUUUCCUUCUCUCCUUUAUUUGAGGGGGGAAGAGUGCUGUACAAAGUCAAACAAACAAGUUUACAGUUGUAAGUGCAAUGACCCGAGUCCUCCACAUGACCUUGUGAAUUGUGUGCUGUCCUCCUGUGCUCUGUGAGAACUCGUGGUACUUCAGUGUCCCUCCCCCUGUAUUGUGACAAGGUAAUUCUGUGGUAUCAGAAUAAAAGGACUUGAUAUAAACAACCUA